rnacentral:tRNA from 1 species
GGAGGGGUGUCCGAGUGGUCGAAGGAGCACGCUUGGAAAGCGUGUGUGCGGGCAACCGUACCGUGGGUUCGAAUCCCAUCCCCUCCGCCA